rnacentral:rRNA from 1 species
ACAGUUGGGGCGGUCAGUAUUCCAAAGCGAGAGGUGAAAUUCUUAGACCUUCGGAAGACUAACAGCUGCGAAAGCGUUCCGCAAGGAUGUUCCCUUUGAUCAAGAACGAAAGUUGGGGGAUCGAAGACGAUCAGAUACCGUCGUAGUCUCAACUAUAAACUAUACCAGCUAGGGAUCGGCCAACGUUAUUCUAUACCGACUUGGUCGGCACCUUAUGAGAAAUCAAAGCAUCUGGGUUCCGGGGGGAGUAUGGUCGCAAGGCUGAAACUUAAAGGAAUUGACGGAAGGGCACCACCAGCCGUGGAGCCUGUGGCUUAAUUUGACUCAACACGGGAAAACUUACCAGGUCCAGACAUAGUAAGGAUUGACAGAUUGAUAGCUC